rnacentral:rRNA from 1 species
AGCAGCCGCGGUAAUUCCAGCUCCAAUAGCGUAUAUUAAAGUUGUUGCAGUUAAAAAGCUCGUAGUUGAAUUUCGGGAUUGACGUGAUGGUCGUGCCUUAAGGGGUAUGAACUGUCGCAGUUGAUUUCUCACCUUCUGGAGAAGCAUGAUGUCCUUAAUUGGGUGUCAUGUGGAACCAGGACCUUUACCUUGAAAAAAUUAGAGUGUUUAAAGCAGGCAUUUUGCUCGAAUACAUUAGCAUGGAAUAAUAGAAUAGGACGGCAUGGUUCUAUUUUGUUGGUUUCUAGGAUCACCGUAAUGAUUAAUAGGGAUAGUUGGGGGCAUUAGUAUUCAAUUGUCAGAGGUGAAAAUUCUUGGAUUUAUUGAAGACUAACUACUGCGAAAGCAUUUGCCAAGGAUGUUUUCAUUAAUCAAGAACGAAAGUUAGGGGAUCGAAGACGAUCAGAUACCGUCGUAGUCUUAACCAUAAACUAUGCCGACUAGGAAUCAGACGAUGUUAAUUUUUUAAUGACUUCG